rnacentral:rRNA from 1 species
AGUGAACGCUGGCGGUAGGCCUAACACAUGCAAGUCGAACGGCAGCACAGUAAGAGCUUGCUCUUACGGGUGGCGAGUGGCGGACGGGUGAGGAAUACAUCGGAAUCUACUUUUUCGUGGGGGAUAACGUAGGGAAACUUACGCUAAUACCGCAUACGACCUACGGGUGAAAGCAGGGGAUCUUCGGACCUUGCGCGAUUGAAUGAGCCGAUGUCGGAUUAGCUAGUUGGCGGGGUAAAGGCCCACCAAGGCGACGAUCCGUAGCUGGUCUGAGAGGAUGAUCCGCCCCCCUGGAACCUAGACCCCGUUCCGACUCCUACGGGAGGCCGCCGUUGGGAAUAUUGGGCCAUGGGCCGAAGCCUUAUCCCGCCCUACCGCGUGGGUGAAGAAGGCCUUCGGGUUGUAAAGCCCUUUUGUUGGGAAAGAAAAGCAGCAGGUUAAUACCCCGCUGUUCUGACGGUACCCAAAGAAUAAGCACCGGCUAACUUCGUG